GGGGGGGGGGUUUAAAAAGUGUUUUGCAAAAGUUAAAGAAUUGAAACAUCAAAUACUCUUGCAAAUAAAUUUAAGCUAGCAUGGUAAUUAAACUAACACUAUAAAAACCUUAGACAACAUUCAAACAUCAAAUACUCUUGCAAAUAAAUUAACAAACACAAUUAAAAAUAAUUAAAUGCAAGACUAACUCAAACACAUUAAAAUCAACCUAGUAACUAAAUUAAGUAAAAACCAAGGAAACCAACAAGCCUAAUUUAAUCCUAGCAAAUUGCUUUGACUAAAUGACAAUUAACAAUUAAUUUUAAAAGUCCAAAUGGCCAAGAAAAGGCACAUGGCCGUGACCCACACUCCACCAAGUCAAACUUCAAAAUUCUAUCUUCACUUAACCACCAAAUGUGUUGUCUUUUGUCCCAUGUGCACCAAUUCUCAAAACAAAUUAAAAUAUGCUUAAACAUCCAAUUGAAAACCAUGCCUUAACCUUCUCCAUGCAGCAAAGAAAUGAAUUCACACACCCAAGCAUACAACUUACAUGAGCAAUGCAAAAGACUUCUACAAAAGUUGCUUCAAAAACCAAUGUG
rnacentral:lncRNA from 1 species